CCUCCUCUUCUCCUUCCUCCCCCGGUACGUUUCUUCUCUUUCUUUUUUUACUAUCAUGCAAUUUUUAGUUACAUCUGUAUCUACUGAAUCUAUUGCAUCAUCUUCAUUAUUUUUUUGAGCUGGGUUUUGUGGAUGGAGGAUAUUUGUAUUAAGGAUGGAGAAUAUACAGCACAAAUUCAGUCGGAAAUUACUCCUCAGACUCAGGAAAUUAAUUAGUAUAAUUUUUUUUAUUAUAUUUUCAAGUUAGGUGUACAAAAUUCCUGUAACUUAGCUAGACAAACUGUAACCCAUUGAGCAUCAAUGAAAUAUACACAGAAAAUUACAGCUGAACUUGUUUUGUUUAC
rnacentral:misc_RNA from 1 species